rnacentral:lncRNA from 1 species
UCCACUGUGCUUCUGAUGACCCGGCCGCCGCCGCCGCCCUGCAACCGCUCCCCGGGACCCCUCAACGCUGACACUGAUGACCCGCGGCGGGGGCGCUGGGCGCGGGGUGCGCAGGCCACUGGCCGCGGGCUCUCGGGCCCGCUCCUGCCGCCGGCUUCUGCUGCUUCCGCGUGCCGUGGACACUGCCAGAAUUUGUCAAAGGUCCUAGGAAGAAAAGGCUCUUUCACCCCUCCCCUCAAUGAACAGAUGGCGUGUUUGGACUGUUCGCAUUCGCUCCUCAUAGGGACAAAUGAAUCUCUUCCCACGCCAUGGGAUUUCCCUUGAUUUUUAUAUUGGGAGUGAAAAGAUGAAGCAUGAGACUCUUCAGCUGCAUCUCGAACUGCAUCUAAUCCCAGCACAUCUCUCUCAAUCUUUGAUUAAGUCUGUUCAUCUAAAAGAGAGACACAGGGGAAAAAUGGAAAUGGGACUUUGGAAGAAUGACCAUCCACAUUCCCAUCACAGCCUGAGAUUUCCUACCUGAUUGAGAUUUUCAGUAGAUGGCCCUAGGUCUAGUUUCCCACUUUGGACCUGCUGCCCUUGGCUCCAAUAGAGGACUUCCAAGUAACUAGGAAGAUUUCACCUCUCUUUUGAAACAUAAUGGACAAAUGUGUUUCUUUAGGAUGAGAGGUGCACCUGGCUAGUCAAUCUUUAUUUUCCUAAAAUAAACAGGAUGAAAACUCAAAACAAAAAGAAAUACCUCAUGGGCAAAAGCUCUCCCAAUACAACUAAUACAGACACUCAACAUGGCUUUGUAGAAACUGACCCCUCUCCCAAGUCUUAUGUUUGUCAGAAUUGCAUGCCUAUUUCAAUCGAAGAAAAGUGAUCUGAUCUCUUCAGAUGAAGGUGGGACUUGGAGAUGCUGCUGCCUAGAGUUAACUUGCCAGAGAAAGGAUAAGCAUUCGGGAAGUGCCAGGAUGGGGUAUCAGCUGAACAAUGGCAGGAUCCCUUCUGCCAGUGGGCUGGCUCAGGGAGUAAACCUCCCCGGAAGGAAUUUUGUUUCUCUCUAGAAUCAAAGUGGGCAAAAUGAUCACCUUAUUCGCCUGGAGUGAACCAGGUUGAAACUGAGAAGGCAGACAUGGGUGAUAAGCCAGAUGAAGUCAUAUGUUAUAACUAAGCUAUGUACCUGUAACUUGCCUGGUAGUUUUUUCAUUCUCUCUAAACAGGUCAUAAUAAGUGUUAGUCUGUGAUCCACUAUGGAGAGAGAUUUCUGGAAAGAAUAGAGGCAGUGGUAGAGGGUCCAAGGUUGUUAUUUAAGGAGAUGAAUGUGGGUCAGGUGCCGUGGCUCACACCUGUAAUCCCAGCAUUUUGGGAGGCAGAGGCAGGAGGAUUGCUUAAGGCCAGAGUUCAAGACCAAACUGGCCAAUAUAGUGAGAUCCCCCCCCCAUCUCUACAAAAGAUAGAAAAACUUAGCCAGGCAUGGUGGCAGGUGCUAUAGUCCCUGCCACCAUGGGACUACAGCUCCUGCAGUCCCAGCUACUCAGGAGUUGAGGCGGAAGGAUUGCUUGAGCCCAGAAGUUCGAGGUUGCAGUGAGCCAUGAUCAUGCCACUGCACUCCUCCGUGGGUGACAGAGCGAGACCUGACUCAAUAAUAAUAAUAUUAAUAAUAAUGAUAAUGCAACACAAACUAUCUUUUACCUCUUGAACAAUGAAUGCAGAUGCCAUGACUACAUCUGUUUGUUGGGGACCAGGGAGGCUGCCAGUGAGGAUUCAGGGUGGAAGUAGUGUGUACCCAAUACCUAUUGUGAGAUGUGGCCUGGGGAGCCCUGAGAUUGCCUGGCCAGGCUCACUCACUACCCAGACACCCUCUUCCUGCAUGGCGAGUCCCUCAGCCCCUCCAAGGCUCAAUUCUCAGACAUCGGAGUAAUCCACAUCCUCCAUCUUGAGUUACUCCUCACAAGGCCUGCAAGUUUUCCUAGGAGGAAGGGAAGACAGGGUUGAACCCACACAAUUCUAGAAUCUAGAAUUUGGAGGAUUUCUAAACCAUUUCUGUAAGUCAGCCCUUGAGAACUUGUAGAUUUUCUCAUCAUUUGCAGCAUGAGAGUCUGGAGUAGACUGUUUGGAUUUGACUCUUGGUUCCUUGGGCAAGUUACUUAACCUCUCAGCUGUGUGUCAGUUUCCUUAUCUAAAAAGUGUGGUUAAUAAUAACUGACCUCUCAGAGGUAUUGUGAGGUUACUGUGAUGAUUAAAUUAGUUGAUUCAUAUAA